CUGCCGCCGGCGACCGGCGCACGGGUGAGUAACACGUAUGCAACCUGGCCGUGACAGAUGGAUAACCGGGAGAAAUCCCGCCUAAUACAACAUAAUGCCGGGAGGGGACAUCCCCUGCCGGCCAAAAGGGGGGGCGACCCCGGUCACGGAUGGGCAUGCGGCGCAUUAGGUAGUUGGUGGGGCAACGGCCCACCAAGCCGACGAUGCGUAGGGGUUCUGAGGGGAAGGUCCCCCACAUUGGAACUGAGACACGGUCCAAACUCCUACGGAAGGCAGCAG
rnacentral:rRNA from 1 species